AACGAACGCUGGCGGCAGGCCUAACACAUGCAAGUCGAGCGAACCCUUCGGGGUUAGCGGCGGACGGGUUAGUAACGCGUGGGAAUAUACCCCUUGGUACGGAAUAGCCUCGGGAAACUGAGAGUAAUACCGUAUGUGCCCUUCGGGGGAAAGAUUUAUCGCCAAAGGAUUAGCCCGCGUUGGAUUAGAUAAUUGGUGGGGUAAUGGCCUACCAAGUCUACGAUCCAUAGCUGGUUUGAGAGGAUGAUCAGCAACACUGGGACUGAGACACGGCCCAGACUCCUACGGGAGGCAGCAGUGGGGAAUCUUAGACAAUGGGCGCAAGCCUGAUCUAGCCAUGCCGCGUGGACGAUGAAGGCCUUAGGGGUUGUAAAGUCCUUUCAGAUGGGAAGAUAAUGACGGUACCAUCAGAAGAAGCCCCGGCUAACUCCGUG
rnacentral:rRNA from 1 species